UACGUAGGUGGCAAGCGUUGUCCGGAUUUACUGGGCGUAAAGAGCGCGCAGGCGGUUGGAUAAGUCGAAUGUGAAAGCCCCCGGCUCAACUGGGGAGGGUCAUUCGAUACUGUCCGACUCGAAGGCAGGAGAGGGAAGCGGAAUUCCCGGUGUAGUGGUGAAAUGCGUAGAUAUCGGGAGGAACACCAGUGGCGAAGGCGCUUUCUGGCCUGUUCUUGACGCUGAGG
rnacentral:rRNA from 1 species